UUUUUGUUGUUGGUUUAGAGUCUGAAAAACUCAAAUAGUGUUGUGUUGUCAUCAGCUUCUUCUCUUGCAUUUUUAACGAGAUUGGAGUUAAAUAACAGCACUAAAUUU
rnacentral:snoRNA from 1 species